ACAUGCAGUCGAACGAUGAAGCCGGAGCUUGCUCUGGUGGAUUAGUGGCGAACGGGUGAGUAACACGUGAGUAACCUGCCCUUGACUCUGGAAUAAGCGUUGGAAACGACGUCUAAUACUGGAUACGAGCUUCAGCCGCAUGGCUAGGAGCUGGAAAGAAUUUCGGUCAAGGAUGGACUCGCGGCCUAUCAGGUAGUUGGUGAGGUAAUGGCUCACCAAGCCUACGACGGGUAGCCGGCCUGAGAGGGUGACCGGCCACACUGGAACUGAGACACGGUCCAGACUCCUACGGGAGGCAGCAGUGGGGAAUAUUGCACAAUGGGCGAAAGCCUGAUGCAGCAACGCCGCGUGAGGGACGACGGCCUUCGGGUUGUAAACCUCUUUUAGUAGGGAAGAAGCGAAAGUGACGGUACCUGCAGAAAAAGCACCGGCUAACUACGUGCCAGCAGCCGCGGUAAUACGUAGGGUGCAAGCGUUAUCCGGAAUUAUUGGGCGUAAAGAGCUCGUAGGCGGUUUGUCGCGUCUGCUGUGAAAACUGGAGGCUCAACCUCCAGCCUGCAGUGGGUCCGGGCAGACUAGAGUGCGGUAGGGG
rnacentral:rRNA from 1 species